ensembl:lncRNA
GGCGGAUUAAGAAGAAAUAACACAUCCGGCACCCUGGGAGGGAGACACAUGAGCGGAGAUGGAGGGAGAGAAGGAGGAACAGGGAGAGAUCACCCAGAGUGGGACGACUUCUACCCGGAGUCACACGGUGACGCAGAGCAACCAGCCCCAAGACCUCCAAGAACCAGGGGAGGAUGACCGGCCCGAGAUUGAAGCCUGUGACGGAGAGGUAGAGCCGAGCCAGGUGGAGGAGGAUCUAUGUCUCUGUGAUGCAGAGAGCUUACCACAGGAGACACCGAUAGGCACAAACACACAGGAUGUCACCCACGGCCUCCCUUUGUACCCCACGCCAACAGAGGAAGAGUUGACCCCCCCUUCAGUGUCAUCCCAUCCCUUGAACACACAGAGUCGCCCGUCUGAACCCUGCUGGUAUUGCCGGAGGUCUCUUGACUCAGAGUAUCGUCCUGAAACUACUGAACAGGAAGACUCGGGUCCUUUGUCACCGGUGCCCUCUAGUGACCAGAAAGUGAGCUACCAGACAGACCCUCGACCUCACUUUGGCGUGGCUUGUUCCUCCCACUCUACUUGUCACCCUCUGUGGGGCAGCGAGGGACCCUGCUGGGGGCCAAGGAGUCAGGACGUGCUCGACCAGACAGACACCUGCCCUCACUGUCAUUUGGGGUUGCCCCCCGACACACUGCGUUGGCAUGAGGCAAAGUGUCUGCAGUUUGAAGGGGUGAGGAUCCCAAAGAAAUAAAAGGAGGCAAAAGCAAAAAUGUCGUUUGGGCAAAAUAACACUGUUCCUUCUUGGUAUUAAGACAAUAAUUCUCACAUAAUGGUUAUUUGCAAUUUCUGCUCUGAAAUAACUGUGUUUACAUCUAAAUUUAACUUAUUUUAUUUUAGUUUAUGUUUAAUUCAUGAUAUAUUUUUAAUGUGUUAUUACAAAUAAAACGCGUAAUAAGUUAAUGUGAAAUUAAGUACUCUUUCUCCCUACACGGACAGCCUAUUUUUUUCAGGAUAAUGAAGUACAUCACAUGCCGAUUAUUACCAAUAUAUACACAUUUAUGUCACUUCCACUGCAGCUCAGAAGACAAUAAGGAAACAGUAAAAAUUGGGAUUGGUUUUUGAUUCCGGAUUCUUUGACCUUUAGGGUCUGUGGCGUAUUCUCAGACGUGCUGCUGUCCCUGGUGCUAUAUCUCCUGUUUGGACACGUUUCGUAAC